AUGAGGGAUUUUUAUGUAGAUGAUGGGCUUGCGAGUGUUGAAAACACUGAAGAUGCUAUUCAGCUUGCCAGGGAAGCUCGUGAACUUUGCGCCAUGGGUGGUCUCCGACUACAUAAGUUUGUGUCUAAUGACAGAAAGGUAUUAGAGAGUAUACCACCCUCCGAACGAGCAACCAACGUGAAGGAUAUGGAUCUCGCAUUUGAUGAUUUGCCACUUGAGAGAGCUCUCGGGAUUCAAUGGGAUGUGGAGUCUGACCGCUUCAGGCUUAACGUCAGCCUCAAGGAACAGCCAGCGACACGACGUGGCAUUUUAUCUACAGUGGCUUCUCUGUACGAUCCUCUUGGGUUUGUGGCGCCAGUCGUCCUCAAAGCGAAGAUCAUUCUCCAGGAGAUGUGCAGACAGGGCACUGGCUGGGAUGAUCCUCUCACUGACGAGCUUCGCCCAAAAUGGGAACAAUGGAGAAGUGAUCUAGCCCACUUAGAUAAUUUCACCAUAUCCCGUACCUACUCACCUGCUGGAUUUGGAAGGGUCUCAAAGACAGAGCUGCAUCAUUUCUCUGAUGCCAGUAUGAAGGGUUACGGCCAGUGUUCAUACCUGCGACUCCAAAACGAAGAGGGUGAUAUUCAUUGUGCCUUAGUUGUAGGAAAAUCACGUGUCUCUCCAACCAAGGUAACAACCAUCCCAAGAUUAGAAUUGACAGCAGCAGUUGUUUCCGUGAAGAUAAGCAACAUGCUUAAGGAGGAAUUGGGAUGUAUUAAUGCCGAGGAGUUCUUCUGGACCGACUCUAAAGUGGUCUUAGGUUAUAUAAGAAACGAAGCACGACGAUUUCACACGUUUGUGGCUAACCGGGUUCAGAAGAUUCAGCUCAGUUCAGCCCCGCAACAGUGGCGAUAUGUCCCGACAAGUGAGAAUCCUGCUGAACAUGCUUCUCCAGGCUUAACUGCCAGUGAGCUUUUGUCGUCUACCUGGCUCACUGGACCCAAGUUCCUAUGGAACAAGGAAAUAAAGCUGGCUACAGAUGAAAUAUCAGAGUUAACCAUCGGAGAUCCAGAGGUCAGGAGUGCUCUAGCGCUCAGUACCAAAACCACUGAAUGCGUGAGCCUCAUUGAUCGCUUGUCUAAGUUCUCAUCUUGGUCGCUAGCUACGCGAGCAGUUGCACGCAUUCUCAGGCGCAUAAGCAAGAACAGAUCAAACAGCUCACCUCUGUAA
ensembl:lncRNA